CUUCUCUCGUCUCCGAGAGACCGAGACCACGGCCCCCGACACCGCCGUCUCUCCCUCUCUCCCUCUCUCCCCGCCGCCUUGGUGACUCCCUCCCUCUCCUCUCAGUUAGCCAGCUACGCAUCCUAGUCUUACCUCCGACGGACGACGCAGCCUCCUCCGUGGACGGUGCUUCGCUCGAUCAAGACAGAACUUCACAGACAGGAAGCUUCAAUGCUUGGCAAUGGAAAUAAGGGCUCGGGAAUCUGUAAACAUGUCAGAGGACCUAACUGGGGCAAUUGCACCUUACGCCACCGCCCUGCAUGAUGUGUUCCUCCACUCCCAUUGCUCAUCAUGCUUCAGCAAGUUACCGCCACAAUCCCCCAGCACCAUGUCUUGCACAAUGUGCUGUUCUGUUCGAUACUGCUGCUCGGAGUGCUUAAGCUCAGAUUCAUUGGUGCAUUCUUCUUCUGGUGAAUGUUGCUUCUUUAUGGACCACCUCAAGAGAGCCUCCCCUAACUAUGUUACUGAAGGAACAAGUGAUUUACGUGCUACCCUCCGACUUCUUUAUGUGCUUGAGAUGCAUGAUCUUGUUUCAUCUGAUUCAAUCAACCAGUGCAGUAGGAUUGGUGGUCUUUCAGCAAGUGGUAUUGAGGAAGCUCUGGAGGAAGAUGAGGAGAUUGCUGAGAGGAUAUUGGAGGGGAGCCUAUUGAUGUCAUCUUGUAGAAAAUCAAGGGCACCGUCUUAUGUUAGUUUACCCGAUGGAGGUAAAGUUGAGAGGAUAACAUUAUGGGCAGUGAUUACAAAUAGUGUGGAGGUACAGCUUAGCGAAGGGCUGGCUAUGGGAAUUGCUGUGUAUGGCCCGAGUUUCUCAUGGUUCAACCAUAGCUGCUUUCCGAAUGCUUCGUACCGAUUUGUAUUGGCUCCUAAGAAUGAAGACUGUAUUUCACACCAAUCAAAUACAUGCGUAGUCCCUGCUAGCAAAGGAGUUGCAGCUGAUGUGUGGCAUGCUUGGCAGUAUGAGGAAGCCAAUUUUACCAACGGCAACGCACUCUGCAAAUAUGGUCCAAGAGUUGUUGUUCGCUGCACAAAACCAAUUAACAAGGGAGAUGAAGUUUGCAUAACAUACAUUGAUCUUCUCCAGACCAAGGAAGCAAGGCAUUCGGAUCUGUGGUUAAAGUAUAAAUUCAUUUGUUCUUGCAACCGCUGUAUAUCAGUACCAGAGUCUUAUGUGGAUCUUAUUUUGAAUUGUGAUGCUAGGGACUUAAAUAAACCAGAGGAUGUUGUAGCAGCUCCAACAGUUGAGGAUUUGGAUGAUGACUUACAACAAGCAAUAUCUGAAUACUCAUCAGGCGACGACGCCAAAGCUUGCUGUGAUAUGAUUGAAAGCAUGCUUUCUGAAAACUUGAUGAGAGAUUUGCAGAAAGGGGAACCUUCGGGGAGAAAACAUAUACUACACCCUCUUCACCGUGUCUGUUUUACUGCUUACAUGGCACUUGCCUCUGCUUACCGGUUUCGUGCCCUAAGUUAUAAAACAGGCAGUUUGUAUGGAGAAAAAAGUGAUGAUCUUUUCAGAAUGGCCAAAGCUGCAGCUGCUUAUUCAUUAGUACUUGCUGGAGCUAUGAAUCAUCUGUUCUUAUCUGAAUGUUCUUUUAUGAUGCCACUGUCGCAUUUUCUAAUAGGUGCUGGGCAGUCGUUGUUUUUUCUUGUUGAAUCUAUGAAGGGAGAGACGAGGCAGUAUUUAUCUGAGGCUAAGUUCACCUUUCCUUCAUGUCCAGAAAGUUCGGCAAAACUUGAUUCAGUGAAGUACAAUGAGUUCAGAUUAACUUGUGAAGGAUUUGGCAAACGAAUGUUAUCUUUGUCAUUUCAUUGCUGGUCAUUUCUUGUCCAAGGUUUACCCUGCCUGGAAAAGAUUAAGAAUCCUAUAGAUUUCAGUUGGCUUGGAACAGCAAUAUUUCCGUCUCUCCUUUCCGAGGAAGGUUAUGCCAAUCUUUGUGCACAUAAUCCUACACCUUUCACAAAGGAACAGAAAGAGUGCAUUCUUAGUUUGGCUAUUUGUUGUGUCACCUAUUGCAAAUACCUCACUAGUAUAUGCUAUGGCCCACAGCAUUAUCUGACAGACCAUGCUAAAGAUUUACUUGAAGUUAUCUUUUAGCCAGAUUUAGUCUUAUCUGCAGGGAUUACCACUUUUCAAAGUGUACUGGAGAGUGGAGACAUAUGAACAAUGGCUAUCAAAUUUCAUGCCCUGCAAUUACUGCUUUAUCUUGGUUCUCAUUUCUACAUCAACUAAGUCUAAUUACUUAAAGCUACAGAAGCUCCGGUGCUGACGAAGAUGGCUACAACAAGUCCAGCACGGAUGACUAUGGUAGCGGGGGCGGCCUACAACAAGUCCAGCACCGGCGACUAUGGUAGCGGGGGUGGCUACAACAAGUCCAGCACCGGCGACUACGGUAGCGGGGCGGCGACAACAAGUCCAGCACCACUUGUGUGUGUGUGUGUUAUAUGUAUAGUUGAUCCCAUCUUGAAGUAUUGAGAACGGAGAUCACCCUGAUUGUGCUAUACGCUCCGGUGUGUAUUUAUGUACCAGUGCUGCUUGGCAUGCACAACAUGUAAUCCUGCUUUGUCUGUACGUGCAUAAAAUGAGUUUCGCUCCGGUGGUCUCUUCCAUGAAAUUUGCACGAUUUUUAAAGCAGCUGAUUAUUAAUUUUAUUUU